UAAUGACGUCUAUUACUCCAUUGAUUACCAAGGUCGAUUCAGUUGAUGUGACUGGCUAGGUAGGUGCUACCUUCCUCCCCCACUGCUCAAUGUAUAUCCCUCCCAAGCUGUGUGCUCAGUGGAGGAGGAUGACUUUCUUCAAUGGAGGAAGAUCAUUCUUUGUUCAAGGGUAUUAGAGUAGCUGUGCUUCCUCACUAGAACCUCCAAACAAGCCACAUUUUUUUUGUCUCCCACCCCAUAAUCUCUCUCCACAUGCACAGAGACACUUUAAGUUUCAAUACGUUUGACUCU
rnacentral:snRNA from 1 species